rnacentral:rRNA from 1 species
CUACGGGCCGCAGCAGUGGGGAAUUUUGCGCAAUGGGGGAAACCCUGACGCAGCAAUACCGCGUGAGUGAAGAAGGCCUUUGGGUCGUAAAGCUCUUUUAUUAGUGAAGAUAGUGACGGUAGCUAAUGAAUAAGCACCGGCUAACUCCGUGCCAGCAGCCGCGGUAAUACGGAGGGUGCAAGCGUUGUUCGGAUUCACUGGGCGUAAAGGGCGCGUAGGCGGCACCAUAAGUUAAGGGUGAAAUCCCGGGGCUCAACCCCGGAACUGCUCUUAAAACUGUGGAGCUAGAGAUAGUCAGAGGCGGGUGGAAUUCCUAGUGUAGAGGUGAAAUUCGUAGAUAUUAGGAGGAACACCGGUGGCGAAGGCGGCCCGCUGGGGCUUAUCUGACGCUAAGGCGCGAAAGCGUGGGGAGCAAAGGGGAUUAGAUACCCCGGUAGUC